rnacentral:rRNA from 1 species
UACAGAGGUCCCAAGCGUUGUUCGGAUUCACUGGGCGUAAAGGGUGCGUAGGUGGUCGGGUAAGUCUGAUGUGAAAUCUCCGAGCUUAACUCGGAAAUGGCAUUGGAUACUAUUUGGCUAGAGGGUUGGAGGGGGGACUGGAAUACUUGGUGUAGCAGUGAAAUGCGUUAGAUAUCAAGUGGAACACCAGUGGCGAAGGCGAGUCCCUGGACAACUCCUGACACUGAGGCACGAAAGCUAGGGGAGCAAACAGG